AAGCCAGGCUGCUGAAGCGGAGUGUGCCGAACUUAACCACUAGGCCACGAGGCUGGCCCCUCUGGUACUCUUAUGGUCUCAUUUUUUUUUAAGCUUAAAAUUUUAAUUAUUUGAUAUAAAGUGUGAGGUAGAUAUCUAACUUCGUUUUCUAGAUGGCCACUCAGUUGGGGACCCAGUGGAGACAAAUUUUAAUUGCAGUGGAACCAAAGGAAUGAAAAUAAUGUUAUUAGAGCAUCUCCUUUUCUAAUUAAAAGGAGUAAGAAAUUUUAGCACCUUUUUUGAUGAAAGACUGAAAUGAGCAGGACAUAGAGGCCUCCUACCUACUCUAACAAACCCUGCUUAUCCAGGGGUAACCACUGCCUUAUACCAAUUAAAUCAUAGUCUCUAGGGCUUGGCUUGGGGGGCAAGAUGAAACCCCUUAGAGUGCUUUACAUAAUAGGCUUUAGACUUUACUUCAUAGAGUGUUAAUCAGAUUUCUUGUACUUUGUCAUGCCUGUCUUCCAGGGAUUCAGUCUAUAGCAUACUACCUACAGAACCUGCUGGAGAAUCAGUGGUGCUCCCCAAUCCAGUAUGACAAUGCCCAGGACUUCUCUAUCAGGAUUGAACCUACAGGGCCCCACCCUGCCUCUGUUAGUCAAGAUGCACGAGAAUGACAUUUCUCUUCUCACUUAGUCCUUUUCUGUCUUGUAAUACUGUUUCCAUCUAGUGGACAGCGUGCAGACCAAUUUGCGAGCAGGCAGAUAAGUUUUAAUUCCCUAACUUUUGAAACAUUUUCUUUGGCAAAUUAUCCCCAUUGGCAAUCCAAGGCAAAGCUUAUUUGUGAGUUUUAGAAUCUCUUAUUUGGGGGGAGAGCUCAUUUUACUUGAUUUGCAGUAAAUCUCCAGUUUCAUCUGGGCGCAUUCCCGUGUUUGGCUGCUUCGUAUGUUUGCUCUAUUAGGAGUUGUUCUUCACUCCGGUCCCGUGGCCUUUUCCUUGAGUUAGGCUUCAAGACCAUUGGUGGCCUCUUACAAUAUGUGAGUUAUCUGUCUGCAAGACAGACUUCAGAUUUGGCCCAAGUUAGAGGCCAUUAUCUUGGCCUAAGCAGAGAUUUUGUCCCCCAGGUUUCCUGCUGGGUGGAAGACUUGGUGAACCUUUACCCAGCUGGCUUUCUGUGAUGGUUGUAGGUCAAGCUAUAGGCUAUAUAUUAGCAGAUGUCUUAAUUUCUUGGUGUCCAGUUCCAGUACAUUCUUAUGCUGCAACAAGAACUUUUUUUUUUUUAAACCUGAUUUCACUAAACUGACUUUACAUGGCUUGGUGUGUAUUGACCAACAUUCCUAUUGGUUGGUCCAACUUUUCAUCGGAGACUAAUUUUUUACAUGGUUCAUAUAACUUUGAUUUAGAGAGUCAUGUUACCACCAUAUUGAUUUGCUUUACCAGAGUGAAUAAUGAAACAAAAAUAAACAGUACUGGGCAUCAUUAAAAUUAAUUAAAUUAGUCAUAAAACAAUUUCUUUAAACAAAUUUCCUUUAGGUUUUAGUCUUGGACAUCUCUUAAGAUAGCAGAUGGAUAACAAAUCUGGCUGGCAGUAUUUUCCCACCUUACCAAGGGAGAAUCGGUAAAUCAUAUCAGUGCAUCAUUCUUAAAUAUCAAUUGAUAUGAAAGGGUGUCUUGUUUUUUUGGUUUCAAAAUGCCAGCCUCCUAAUUUCUUGAAAUUUACUUCUUGUCUUUACCUCAGCUAUCUCUGGUCUUUCCAGGUUGCUUUGUUUAAUAUUCCAAUCCCUUUGAUCCCACUGGAACUUCCAAUCCAUCCAGUUUUUCAUUGUUCUUCACCCUCUUAAUCUGUUCACUUAUUUACCCAACUUGAAAUCUGUAGCCACUCAUUGUCAUUCCUUUGCCUACACCAUCAUUUUCUUUGCGAGUCCCAGGGCUACCCAGUCCCCCAGCUUCAUCAUACUUGCUUGGCAAAACCACAAAACAGAUUGAAUCCAAUUCACUUACUCAAUUCUGCUGACUGGUAAGGCUGAAGGUAACUGGAGAAAAACAAUCUCAGUGACUUAAAUGAUCACAAAUUUUGUAUCUUGUGUAGACCUGUAAUUCUGCCAAGCAGUCGGAGAAUAGGUCCCUGGUCAAUUUGCUCUCCCAUUCACUUCCUCUCCCUUCAUGCUUGCUUAGCUAAUGACCUUAUUUUUGCUGAAGAAGAUCUGCCCUGAGCCAACAUCUGUGCCAGUCUUCCUUCCUUUGUAUGUGGGUCUCCACCACAGCACGGCUGCCAACUAGUGGUGUAGGUCCAUGCCUGGGAACCCAACCCAGCCCACCGAAGCAGAGCACGCCAAACUCAACCAUUAGGCCAUGGGGCCAGCCCUGACCUUUUUCAUACUUCACUGAAGAAAUCCGAAGCAAUCAGAAGAGAAUUUUAGCAUUCUCAUCAUACCUACUCACCUUCCAGCAUCUGCACCUACAUCACAUUCCCUUUUGUUAACUCAGUUUAUCUAAGGCCAGUUGCUUUACUUAUGCAUUAGGGCCCAUCUUCUUGCUCCUGCAGUUCUGUCCCUCUCACGUCAUCUAUUGCAAACAAACAUUCUCUUGUUCCCAUUUUAAAGAAAAGUCUUGAUUCUGUUCCCCUGCCAGUUACCACCACUUCAUUUCUUCACUCCUUUUUGUAGCAAAACUCCUGAAAAGGGUCUUUGUUAACUGUCUCAAAUUAUCACCUUCCAUUUUCUCUUAAAACCUCUUUAAUCAGGCUUUUACCCCUAGUGGUACACAGGAACAUUGCUAGUGAUUUCAUGUUGCUAAAUCAUGUGGUCACUUUUUUUUAUUUUAACUUACAAGAUCAGGGUUUAUUUCUUGCUCAUGACACAUGUCCAUUAUAGUUGGUGGUGGUUUCUUCUCUUUCUUAUCCUCAUGACCCAAACUAAUGGAAGCUCCACCAUCUGAAAUUUACACUCCAGCCGAAGACAGACAGUAAACAUGGUAAUAAGUAAACUGUAUGUUCGGAGAUAAGAGCUUUGUAUUAAAAAGGGUGUAGUUGAGUAAGGAGGGUUGGGAGAGCUAGAGCAAUGAAAGCUUGCAGAUUACUGUAAUAAAUAGGGUGGCCAGGCCUCAUUGAGAAGUUGAGAUUUGAGCAGACUUGAAUGAGAUGAGAGCCAAACAGACUUCCAGUAUUCCAAGUAGAGAGAACAGCUUGAGCAAGGGCCCCAGGGUGGGACUGUAGCUGACCUGUUCUAACAGUCUGGAGGCAAGAGUGGAAUGACAGGGAGAGAGUAGUAGGAAAGGAGGUCAGAUAAACAAUGAGGCAGAUAAUCUAGGGCCAUUUUGUCCUUUACUCUGAGUGAAAUAGUCUUGCAUUGUCUUCAAUCAGAGGGGUAUCAUGAUGUGAUGCACUUGUUUAAAAAUAGAGCUUUUGAGGUUUCUUUUAUAAAAAUAUACCAAUUUUUAGAGUACAAUUUUGAGACAUUUUGGUAAAUUAUACCAUUGUGUAACGAUCACCACAAUCAAGAUAUGGAACAUUUUUGUAAUUCCAAAGAGCCCACGUGCUGCUUUGCAGUUAAUCCCCUCAGCCCCUGGUCAAUUCUUAGUCCUCAUCUACCUACUUAUAUCUUUGGUAUUAGUAUUUUGAUGUAGUUGAUUACUCUCUGUUCCUUAACGCUUAAUUCACUUCCAGGAUGCAACACUCUUAGUUUUCUUAUCUUCUCAAUUUCCUCUACUGGUUCCUUUUAGUCUCUCUGACCUCUUGAUGUUGAAAGCUCCAUAAGUCAGAUCUUGGUCUUUGGUGAUCCUGUGGAUUCAAAUGCCAUUUAUGCACAAAAAUUCCCAGUUUCUAUCUGUGAUCCAGAUCUUUCUCCCAAACUCCAGAUUCAUAUGUUACUGCCCAUUUGACGUUUUUGCUUGGCUAUCUGAUAUUUCAAACAACUUGUAUAAAACUGAACUUCUGAUCUCCUCCCCCUUGAACCCUUCCUGCAUCUCAGUUGAUGGAACUCCAUCCUUCAGUUACUCUGGCCAAAAACUUAGGGGUUAUACUCACAUUCAGUCUGUUAGGAAAUCUUGUUGGCUCUACUUCACAUAAUCUCCCUGACUGUUAGCAGCCUCAUCAGAGCCACCAUCAUCUCACCUGGAUUUAUAAGUUCUUUCCUAAUUGAUCUCCCUGCUUCUACACUGUCUACCAUCCAUUCACAAUAUAGCUGCCCCAGUGAUCCUUGUAAAAUAGAAAUCACAUAUUUUCACAACUCAGCUCAUACUGCACCUACCCCCCUCCCUGGGGGCUUUUCAUUUCCUUCAGAGUAAAAGUCAAGAGUCCAUGGAAAGGUCUAUAAAGGCCUAUAUGAUCCAGCCCCUUCUCCUCUUAGCUCUCUGACUUUAUCCUACUUUCCUUUGCUCACUUGGCUUUGACCAUACUGCACUAGGCUUUGUUUUUACAGAUAUUUGAAUACAUGCCAGGCCCCUUCUCCCUUAGCAUUUGCACUAGGUGUUCCUUAAAGGCCUGUUUUGGGUUUCUUUAAAAAAAAAAAAAAAAACACAGAUUUGGACUUUCAAGGUGAAAAGCUACAUUUUUGAGGCAGUAAAAAUGAGGCUAGGGUUCCAUCCUCUUUUUUCCGUGUUCCUCAUUUAAGUGGUAUCAAUCAAUUCCCUUGGCUCUACCUACCGUCUGGAUUCUAAAGAUUCCCAGAUGUAUAUCUCCAGCCCGCAUACUUUUUCCUCUGUGCUCAAGAGAGCUGUGUAUCUGACCAAGAGGCCAUGGAAGCUUGAUACUUGAAUCCGCACCCAUACUUUCUUCUAAUUGGGAUAACCUCCAAUCUCUCCAGACAGGUUUGUGGAGUUUCUCUUGGAGGACAGUUCUCAAAAUUAAAUGCCAUGGGUUGUCAAGAGGAAGAGAUCAGAAGAGAACAGAAAAACUUGAUUAUGAACCAUGCAUGUCUUCUUCAUCACCCAGAUCCUGGCUCGUAGGAAUGCAAAUCACUGAUAAGUGAAUUCAGGAGCUUUUACUGUGAGGCUUCGUGGGACUCUGAAAUGGUGGUCUAUAACGAGAAGCUUGUUUUGGUGAAUAAAGGGGAUUUUGUAUA